AAAACUCCUACAAUUAAAAUGACUAUAAAUCGCUCAACAACUUCACCAUGUUAAGAAAAGUUUACUGUUCAAAUUUCAAGUUUCCACGAAUAUUUUUAACUGAAUUACAACAAAAAUAAAAAUUGAAAGUAAUAAAAGCAUUAUUUUCGUAAAUUUUCCCGUUUUUCUAAAAUUUUAUCGUGAGUUCUCCUGGUAUUAUGAAAACUG